CCGGUGCCCUGAACAAUCAACCACUGACACAAAGUCCCAUGAGAGAAUGAAACGGCCCUGAAUGCUCUGUGCCCACACAGUGAAAGAUGGUGACCCUAUAACCUCUGGAUCAGGGUGACAAGAUUGAGAAUAUCUGAGAUCACACGGCUGAGUCAAAGUCACUCAAGGAGGAAAUGGGGACCUGCAACAGGAACUCUUUCUGGCUACUCAUUUCCGCCUCCUGACCUACCUCCUUUGAGAUGGGACUGUUUAGAUGGCUUAAUCUCUCUGAACCCUUCCUUGGUCAUCUCAUUCCGUUGUAAAAUGUGAAUAAAGGCUAACUGAGCUAACGACA
rnacentral:lncRNA from 1 species